rnacentral:lncRNA from 1 species
GUCUUCUCUCUUGGCUUUGGAGCUCCCCAUUCCUCUGUGUCUGUAACAGGGGAGCUUCUUCCUUCUUUCUUCUCCCUUCUUUCUUGCCUGUUAAACUCUCUGCUUCUUAAAACCACUCCAUGUAUGUCCAGGUCAUUUUAUCUAAUUUGGAGACGGAGAACCCUGGUGUUCCUCUGCUCAUCAGAGCCGUCUCACCUGCAAGGGCCAGGAUCCAGCACUAGGGCUGCCCUUUAUGUUCAUGCAGCCUCCACUAGGAAGAUCCUCCUUAGCUGCCACCUGCUGUAAAGGGAUCUAUCUAUCUAUCUGUCUAUCUAUCUAUCUAUCUAUCUUUCUAUCUACCUGUCGAGAGAGAGAGAGGUUUAUUAUAAGGAAUUGACUCAUGUGAUUAUGGAGGCUGAGAAGUUCCACAGUCUGCUGUCUGCAAGCUGGAGACCCAGGAAGGCUGCUGGUGCCGUUCCAGUUUGAUUCUGAAGGCCUGAGAACCAGAACUGAUGCCCACUCAACAUGAAGAUGACAAGGAUGAAGACCUUUAUGAUGAUCCAUUCCCACUUACUGAAUAAACUUCACCAGGACCCAGGAAAUAAGAUUUGAUUGCUGCACACUUAGAAACAAUGGCAAUCAAGGGAAAUGCCCCAUCUUACAUGGAGCUCUUCUAGUGGAAACACCAUGGUUGCCACCACGUACUGCUCCGUACCUAAGUUUCUAGGAACCAGACUCUGGAAACUCUUCUAGAACUGCCCCAGGAGAACCAACGUGUCUGUUGCUUGCAAAGACCUCCAGUGUCCCUGAGCCUGGCCACUGCCUCCCAUUGCUCAAACCCUCCUAGUCUCGUAUGUGGACAUCUGCUUGGAAGAAUCUCAUCCACGUACAAAAUCCUGGCUCUGACAGGGUCUCACUCUGUCACCCAGACGGGUGUGCAGUGGCAUGAUCAUGGCUCACUGCAGCCUUGAUUCCAAGGGUGAAGUGAUCUUUCCACCUCAGCAUCCCAAGUAGCUGGGACUACAGGAUGAAGCUUCUUGGUGAUGUAACAGUCUGUGGAAACUCCCACAGGACAAAUGCAGAAAGGAAGGACCUAGAUCACUGGAUGGUCAACGUUGCCCCUUGCACAGCAGCAAAGGCCUAUACAAAUUUUUUGAGUAGCUUUAUCUAGUGGUUCAGCUACUGGGAAUAACUUGUAAAAUCCCCUGGAUAGUCAACAGCAUUGGGGCUUGCUUUGUAAACAGAGACCUGACCUACUUAAUUCUUCCCAGAGGUUGGAAAAAGAGGCUGGACUCACACAGACAUGAAACCUUGGCUUAAUUGGACACUAAUUACUCAUAAGAGAUCUGUUUACCCGAACUUCCCCUAGACCAAGCUCAGUAUAAAAUGAGAGGAUGCAUAAAGAAGCAAGAUAUUUAGAGGAAAAUGUCACAAAUACAUUUAUCAGUCCCAAAAGUCCUUUUUUUUCCCCAGAAGUGAUGUUGCUAAUUGCACAAAAAUAAACAAUACAGGGGUUGAUAAAUUCCACAUUUAAGGGCUGAGGAUAGUGUCCCUACAUUUCUAAGAAGCUGUAUAUUUGGAAAUGAAUACAAUUGAAAGUAAGGAUAAGUGGCAUUCUAAAGCCAAUUGGAUAACUUGAAUGAACAAGCAGAAUUUACCAUAUUUUGAUAUGUUUCUUUUUGAUUAAAGUAUCUGUAAAGGAAACAAAUUAUAGUAUUGCUAUAGAUUUUAUUACUGAACAAGAAAAAAAGGCUUGAUGUUGUGCAUUUCCUUUUGGCCUUUGGUCUUGGCUGAUAUUGGGCAUCCAAUGAGCUUCUUUGUCUUGAAUGAAGACUUAAGAGGGAGUGAAAAGUAGGAAGAGCAUCAAAACUUCUUUGCAGGAUGUAAUCAAACCACCUACUACUUAUUGUCUUACGAUCCAUUUAUUCAACAAAUGGAACAUCUCAAUUGCUUGAUGCUAUUACAGACACUAGGUAUAGUCUUAGAAAAACAAAUUGCUGUUUUUAUAUAGCUUGUGUUAUGGGUUGAUGUAGUACAGUCAAAAUUAUUUAAAUAAAGGAAGAUGUGAGGAAGACUUUGAACUUAGAAAUCUGGGUUCUCAUCCAAGCUUUGCUGCUAGCUUGUUGGGGGAACCUUGGGUGAUGAGUUGGUUGACUCCUUCCAGAUCUCAGCGUUCAUCCAUCAAGUGAGGGAACUUGACCAGAUAUUCAAUAAUGGCCCUUCCAGCCCCAUCUCUAUAUGAAAGGGAAACCACAGUAUGGGCCCAUGGGGAAGAUCAUGGACUUUGGAGUAAAACAUUUCUGGCUUGGUCAAUUAUUUAAUCUCUUGAUCCCGAUCAAUUCAUGUAACUACUCUGACCCUCAGUUUCCUUGCUGCAAAAUGAGAUACUAAUAUUUGCUCAAAUAAGAUAACAGGCAAAACAAUCAUGAGGGCUCCUGGCACACCACUGUGCAUGGCUUUUGCUCCCUUGGGGAGCUUAUAAAUGAAAAAAAGAUUUUACAAUGCAAAGACAGUAAGCAUUUUGUUAGUGAAGCAACAAAAUAAUUGGGCAAUUUCCUCUCAAUUGCACCAUCAACUGAUGCCCAACCUAGAAAGCAUUUGGCUAAGAAUGGAAAAGGAAUCUUUGCCCAGAUCCCUCAAUUUUGACCAUCAUGGCAUAUACAUGAAUUGGCAGACUAAAUUUAUGCUCCUUUUGAAAACUGUGUCCAUUCCAAGAAGUCAGGCUAUUUUCACCCAGCCUGGUCUAGGCAGUGGGACUCCCCAAGGCUACAAGCAGAGCCACAGUGCUCUGGGCUGGGCUGCCACACUGUCAUGCUGGGGCAAAGAUGGCAGCAGACAGCUCUCUUGGGUAACAGCAGGAAGCUCUUUUCACAAGAGUGAUCUCAUCUCUUAGGGGACUAUGGUAGAAACACAGGGCAAAAGCUAUAGGAAUGGUCCAACAUAAUAACUGUUUUUUUUUUUAAUUUUCAAAACAUGAUAAAUGAUUAAGAAUAUAAAACUGGAAUUUAGAACUUACAGAGAACUUGUAUGAAUAAAUUAAAAAGACAACCUAAUUUUAAAAUGGGCAGAAGUCUUGGGCAGGCACAUUACAAUAUAGCAGGGGUCACCAAAUUAAAGCCUCACCAGCAAAAUCCACCUCCCAUCCCAGCCUGUUUUUAUAAAUAAGCUGUGUUGGAACACAGCCAAUCCCAUUCAUUCACACAUUGCCCAUGGCUGCUUUUGCUUGACAACAGCAUAGUUGAGUAGUAGGGACAAGACCAUAUGACCUCCAAAGCCAGAGAUAUUAACUGUCAGGCCCUUUAUAGAGUGAUUCACGGAGACCCCCAUAAUAGAGGAAAAUACAAGUGGCCAAUAGCACAUAAGAAGAUGCCCAGUAUUACAGCCAAGAGGAAAAUGCAAAUUACACCCACAGUAAGAUACCAUUAUGCAUCCAUUAGAAAGGCUAAAAUUAAAAGGACUGACAACAACAAGUGUUGACAAUGGUGGGUAACAGCAAGAGCUCUCAUACACUGAUGGUUGAAGUGUAAAUUGGUUCAGUUUUGGAAAAGAGUUUGGAGGUGUCUACUACAGUUAAACAUACAUAUUUCCAUGCCCCAGAAACUCCUGGGCAUAUUCUCAAAAGAAACGAGGGCUGUGGCCACCAAGAGACAUGUGUGAGAAAGGUCCUAGCACCUUUAUAUAUCAUAGUCCCAAACAGAAAACAACACAUACCCAUCCACGUUAGGAUGAACUAAAUAAAUUGGGGCAUAUGCAUUCAAUGGAAUAGUACAUAGCAAUGAAAAAAUAAACUGUUGCCCCAUGCAAAGAUGUUUUACAGACAUAACGUUAAGCAGAAGAAAGCAGAUCUCAAGGAGCCCACAUUGUACAAUUCCGAUCUAUAUGAAGCUCAAUAACACAUGGUACUAGAAGUUGUAAUAGCAGUUACCUGUAGGACUGGAGGUUUGUAUUGAAAGAGAAGGAACAUCAGGAAGUCUGCUGGAGCCUGGAAAUGUCUGAGAUGUUGCUCUGGGAGGCAGUUGCAUGGCUGUAGACAUAUGUAAGACAUUAUUGGAUGGUAUACCUGAGAUUGGAGCACCUACAAUAGAAGGUACAGUGUUACAUCUCAGU